rnacentral:lncRNA from 1 species
UGAAUUUUCUUAUUGUUUAAUUUAAUGGUCUUUUACCUACUAUCCUAAUUAAAUAAAGAUAGAAAAUAUCCACGUUCUAUAACAUGGGUCCUUGGAAGAUUGAUUCAUGAGAUUCCUGCCCCUUCCCCCCCCCAACAAAACUAAGAACCAUCGUCUCAAUACAAUGCUUUAUCUACUAAAACAGCUGGUGCUUCUCAUCCAGAGCCGUUGAUAAAUAAGAUUAUUCGUCGAUGAACCCUGUGUCGAAGCGCGAAUCAUUUGCUAUCUCUCUCUCUCUCGGUCUCGCGAUGCCUCUCAGAUUCAAGCCAUCUCGCGUUGUGGGGCUUGUUGACCUUCACAAUCUGCUCUGAAUCUGGCUUAAGAAAUCGAUUCAACCUGAGACGAUGAUACAUGCUUAAGAGAAUCCGUUGUAGAAGCGUGAUAGUCAGUCUCCUCUUUGCAAUCGCAAUGCAGUGGUGGUGGUCGCAGUCGUAGCGGUGGUGGUCGCUGUUGCCGUCAGGUCCAAGCGAAGAAGCGGCGGUGAGGAUGGGUAGAAGAUAGACAAUUUUGUAUUAGGUUUAGGUUCUUUUUUUUUUAUUUGGUUUAGUUUUUUUUAGUAAACCAGAUGUAAUUUGUAAACCAAUUUUAGUUUAUAAACCAAAUUCUUGUUUUUAGUAACACAUACAAACCAAAUUUAGUUUACAAACCAAAUUUUCAUUGGUAAAUAAAUUUAAUUUUGUAAAC